rnacentral:rRNA from 1 species
GACGAACGCUGGCGGCGUGCUUAACACAUGCAAGUCGAACGGAAAGGCCCUGCUUUUGUGGGGUGCUCGAGUGGCGAACGGGUGAGUAGCACGUGAGUAACCUGCCCUUGACUUUGGGAUAACUUCAGGAAACCGGGGCUAAUACCGGAUAGGAGCUCCUGCUGCAUGGUGGGGGUUGGAAAGUUUCGGCGGUUGGGGAUGGACUCGCGGCUUAUCAGCUUGUUGGUGGGGUAGUGGCUUACCAAGGCUUUGACGGGUAGCCGGCCUGAGAGGGUGACCGGCCACAUUGGGACUGAGAUACGGCCCAGACUCCUACGGGAGGCAGCAGUGGGGAAUAUUGCACAAUGGGCGGAAGCCUGAUGCAGCAACGCCGCGUGCGGGAUGACGGCCUUCGGGUUGUAAACCGCUUUCGCCUGUGACGAAGCGUGAGUGACGGUAAUGGGUAAAGAAGCACCGGCUAACUACGUG